CGCAGCUGAGGGUGGUGCAACCAAACAACGCCCUCGCCUUUUACUAGGGCGUUCCGUGUGCCACCCUCACUACAAAGCUGCCAUAUCAAUCUUUGGGCUUAACUCUUCGUGAGUAUCC
rnacentral:snRNA from 1 species